CAUUUUCAUUAUUUUGUGUUCUGAGAAUGAUUACAUUUUCCUUUGUUUUUAUAACUCUCAAACCAUGUUCUUUAUUUUUUUUGAUAUGUAAUAUGGAGGAGUCCACUCCUAACAGGUAACAACAUAUAUAGUUAGUUAUUAACCCUUGGUCCAUUUUAGUUGCAGAAGAUGAAGAAGAAGAGGAACAAUGGAGAAAUGGUGUCAGUUCAGUGUUGACAAAGUAGCUAAAGUGAUAGAGCACAAAAUAAGGAAGAGUCCAAAAAUCAGAUGAUGAUGAUGAUGGGGAACGAUUGUACAAAGAUCUAACGUGGGACACUUAUAGGAAGGCACUUGAGUCUUGAGUGUAUAGAAGUUUGAAAGCAUAUGGCAUGGCAGAGAACGCUGAAAUCCAAUUGGAAGCCCAACCUUGUCUGAAAAUUCAGUGAACACCACCAUGACUGAGGUAAGGAAUCAUGUCUUAAAUUUAGGUGUGGGCUAUUUAUUUAUUUUGUAUAUCUAUUCCCAUGGUAACUACACACUCUUCCUUUGUACGGUUAAUUUUUUUUCUUUAGAGAAGUCAUCUCUAUUGACUAUUUAGGCUAUAUCUUUUAUGUGUGUUCCCCCUAUAUUUCAUUGUUAAUGAGAGGAAGUGUACUGACAGAUAUGGCUGAUAAAUUGAGUUUGAAUUCAGAAGUAAAGCCAUUUAGGAUGUUAGCUUUUAAGGGAAACCCAAAAUCAAGUGGAAAGUCCAUUUUCCAUAUUCAUGAGAUGCAAGUGAAUUAGGAAGUCACAUUACAAACUGACUACAGUGAGGGAUGGAUAGAAUGAGUAUCUGUCCAAGCAAAUGCACCUUUAUUUGUCUUGGGGCUGUUGAUAAAAAUCUGCUGCAUAAUAGUGUCAGUUUAAAGGGUUUUCCAUUGUACGUGUUGUUUUCAAUUCUUGAUGUUUGUAUGAUUGGUAUAACUUUGUUUCAAACUACAUGUUUCUUUCAUUAUUUGUCACUUUUGUAUUUUGCUUCAGGCUUCAGUCCUAUGAAGAAUAACUACAAGGUUUUAAGAGCAAAUAUGCAAGAAACUUUAUUUUCCAAGAUCAGCAUAUAGUUUAAUAAUAUUUCACUCAUUUUCAUUCGUAUUUCUCUAGACAUACGUGUAUCACAUGAAUCUAUAAAUUUGUUAAUAUUCUUGCAGAGUUGCAGGCA